rnacentral:sRNA from 1 species
CAAAAAAUUUACCCAAAUUCAUAAUUAAUACUCUCACACCGACCACAGCAACAACAACAACAACAACAACAACAAGAGACCAACAAACAAAACAAAACAAAACAAACAAAAACAUAAAAGACAACAACAACAACAUACCGAACAAACGCCCGAAAAGGAAAAGACGAUAAUCAACAGGAGACAAGGAAAACGAAUAAACGAAAGAGGGAGCAAAGGGGACACGAAAAAAAUCAAAAUCCAAAACCGAAUUAAUAACUCUACGAUUUGGAUGACUAUCGUCCCGAUAACUGAUAGCAAUAGCCCGAUAACUGAUAACCGAUUAGCGAUAACCGAUAACCGAUUACCGAUAACAGUCAUCAGUUGUGUCUGAAACUGGACAGCCAAUCAAGAUCAAGUUCUGGAUCCCCGCCCACUCGUACACCCGUCAGUCAAUCAGUCAAUCAAUCGAUCAAUCAAUCAGCCAAUCAAUCGAUGAACUGGAAACCGCCAACCGAUAAAGCCACCCGAUAGUCGGAUCCAAUUAAAUCUAGAAACGCGUGCAGAGACCCAGAACCGAAAAAAAAGUAAAAUUUCCAAAAAAAAAAUACAAAAAUAAAUAAAAUCAAAAUAAGAAAUGCUAACGCGACACCAAUAAAACCCACAAUCCAAUCCAAGCCAACUGACUAAGCAUUAAAAAAAUAUUAAAAAGAAAAAUAAAGAAAGAAAGAAAAGUUUAUUUUCCGGUUCAGCAGAGUUCAUGAAAAAGUUGCAAGAAAUUACGAAAAUACAAAAAAAAAAAACGUGAAAUCCCUCAAGGACAUGAUUCGCGAAUUCUAAAAUUCUAAAAAAUAAAAGGCAUCAUUCCAAACAGAAAUAACAGAAAUAAAUAAAAGAGAAAAAAAUACUAAAAUCCAAAAGAGUUGAAGCUGGAGUUGAAAUAAAGUAGACAAGCGGAAAAAAGAUCAGUUUCGAAAGUAAAAGUCCUAAAGGUCCUAAAAGUUGAAAUUCAAAAGUGUUCCUCCCUCUAUAUAGACAUCUAUAAUAAUACUACUAACUAACUAACUAACACGCUCAUAACUGAUCCAAAAGCAAAAAAAC